rfam:Camelus ferus unplaced genomic scaffold scaffold1309, whole genome shotgun sequence.
GGGGGUAUAGCUCAGUGGUGGAGCACAUGCUAGCAUGCAUGAGGUCCUGGGUUCAAUCCCCAGUACCUCCA